CCCUUAGAUGUCCUGGGCCGCACGCGCGUUACACUGAUGCAUUCAACGAGCUUAUAACCUUGGCCGAGAGGCCUGGGCAAUCUUGUUAACGUGCAUCGUGAUAGGGAUAGAUUAUUGAAAUUAUUAAUCUUGAACGAGGAAUUCCUAGUAAACGCAGAUCAUCAAUCUGCAUUGAUUACGUCCCUGCCCUUUGUACACACCGCCCGUCGCACCUACCGAUUGGAUGGUCCGGUGAAGCCUCGGGAUUGUGGUUCUUGCCGCUUUAUUGUGGCGUGACCGCGAGAACUUGUCUAAACCUUAUCAUCUAGAGGAAGAUGAAGUCGUAACA
rnacentral:rRNA from 1 species